rnacentral:rRNA from 1 species
UGCAGUCGAGCGGACAGAUGGGAGCUUGCUCCCUGAUGUUAGCGGCGGACGGGUGAGUAACACGUGGGUAACCUGCCUGUAAGACUGGGAUAACUCCGGGAAACCGGGGCUAAUACCGGAUGGUUGUUUGAACCGCAUGGUUCAAACAUAAAAGGUGGCUUCGGCUACCACUUACAGAUGGACCCGCGGCGCAUUAGCUAGUUGGUGAGGUNANGGCUCACCAAGGCAACGAUGCGUAGCCGACCUGAGAGGGUGAUCGGCCACACUGGGACUGAGACACGGCCCAGACUCCUACGGGAGGCAGCAGUAGGGAAUCUUCCGCAAUGGACGAAAGUCUGACGGAGCAACGCCGCGUGAGUGAUGAAGGUUUUCGGAUCGUAAAGCUCUGUUGUUAGGGAAGAACAAGUACCGUUCGAAUAGGGCGGUACCUUGACGGUACCUAACCAGAAAGCCACGGCUAACUACGUGCCAGCAGCCGCGGUAAUACGUAGGUGGCAAGCGUUGUCCGGAAUUAUUGGGCGUAAAGGGCUCGCAGGCGGUUUCUUAAGUCUGAUGUGAAAGCCCCCGGCUCAACCGGGGAGGGUCAUUGGAAACUGGGGAACUUGAGUGCAGAAGAGGAGAGUGGAAUUCCACGUGUAGCGGUGAAAUGCGUAGAGAUGUGGAGGAACACCAGUGGCGAAGGCGACUCUCUGGUCUGUAACUGACGCUGAGGAGCGAAAGCGUGGGGAGCGAACAGGAUUAGAUACCCUGGUAGUCCACGCCGUAAACGAUGAGUGCUAAGUGUUAGGGGGUUUCCGCCCCUUAGUGCUGCAGCUAACGCAUUAAGCACUCCGCCUGGGGAGUACGGUCGCAAGACUGAAACUCAAAGGAAUUGACGGGGGCCCGCACAAGCGGUGGAGCAUGUGGUUUAAUUCGAAGCAACGCGAAGAACCUUACCAGGUCUUGACAUCCUCUGACAAUCCUAGAGAUAGGACGUCCCCUUCGGGGGCAGAGUGACAGGUGGUGCAUGGUUGUCGUCAGCUCGUGUCGUGAGAUGUUGGGUUAAGUCCCGCAACGAGCGCAACCCUUGAUCUUAGUUGCCAGCAUUCAGUUGGGCACUCUAAGGUGACUGCCGGUGACAAACCGGAGGAAGGUGGGGAUGACGUCAAAUCAUCAUGCCCCUUAUGACCUGGGCUACACACGUGCUACAAUGGACAGAACAAAGGGCAGCGAAACCGCGAGGUUAAGCCAAUCCCACAAAUCUGUUCUCAGUUCGGAUCGCAGUCUGCAACUCGACUGCGUGAAGCNGGAAUCGCUAGUAANCG